rnacentral:rRNA from 1 species
CGCAUCUGUGCAUGCAGCAUAUCAAUAAGCGGAGGAAAAGAAACUAACAAGGAUUCCCCUAGUAACGGCGAGUGAAGCGGGAAGAGCUCAAAUUUGAAAUCUUAAAGGGUUUCCCUUUACGAAUUGUAGUUUAAAGAAGUGUUUUCUGUUGAGGUUUUGGUAAAAGUUCUUUGGAAUAGGACAUCAUAGAGGGUGAGAAUCCCGUAUUUGACCUUUACUUUCAACUUUGUGAUACACUUUCAAAGAGUCGGAUUGUUUGGGAAUGCAGUCCAAAAUGGGUGGUAAAUUUCAUCUAAAGCUAAAUAUUGGCGAGAGACCGAUAGCGAACAAGUACCGUGAGGGAAAGAUGAAAAGAACUUUGAAAAGAGAGUUAAACAGUACGUGUAAAUUGUCAAAAGGGAAGCGUUUGACACCAGUGUUGUUUUUCUGAAAAUCAAUUAAAGAACUGUUUAUGCUAAGCUGUUUAGACUUUAUCAGCUAACUGUUUAGUUUUGAGCUUUUCUUUAAUGCACUUUUCAGUUAACAAGUCAACAUCAAUUUCUUUUGCAGUAAAAAAGCUUGAGGAAGGUGGCUUGAGAUUCGUCUUAAGUGUUUAUAGCCUCUUGCCUAUGCAGUCGGAGAGAUUGAGGUCUGCAGCGUAGAUCCUUCGGGGCUAAAUGCAUUUGUGCUAAGUUAUAAGCAUUUUAUAGACAACUUGUUGACUAUGAUUUGUCUUGUAGCUUACUCGCUUAUGUUAUUUUACCUACGCUUAGGAUGUUGACAGCAGUAUAGACUGU